UACGUAGGGUCCGAGCGUUGUCCGGAAUUAUUGGGCGUAAAGGGCUCGUAGGCGGUUUGUCGCGUCGGGAGUGAAAACACCGGGCUUAACUCGGUGCUUGCUUUCGAUACGGGCAGACUGGAGGUAUGCAGGGGAGAACGGAAUUCCUGGUGUAGCGGUGAAAUGCGCAGAUAUCAGGAGGAACACCGGUGGCGAAGGCGGUUCUCUGGGCAUUACCUGACGCUGAGGAGCGAAAGCGUGGGGAGCGAACAGG
rnacentral:rRNA from 1 species